CCCGACCUCAGAUAAGUCAUGAUUACCCGCUGAAUUUAA
rnacentral:rRNA from 3 species